rnacentral:rRNA from 1 species
AAGGAUCAUUACCGAGUGAGGGUCCCCCUUCGGGGGAACAUGGCCCAACCUCCCACCCGUGAUUAUUGUACCUCUUGUUGCUUCGGCGCGGUUCCGCCCUCCCACCCUUUCGGGGGGGGAAGAGACGGGUCAACCCGCCGGAGACCUCCUCUGGAACGCUGUCAUCUGAAAAGAGUUUUGCAGUCUGAGUUGACAAAUAUAAAUCUAUUAAAACUUUCAACAACGGAUCUCUUGGUUCCGGCAUCGAUGAAGAACGCAGCGAAAUGCGAUAAGUAAUGUGAAUUGCAGAAUUCAGUGAAUCAUCGAAUCUUUGAACGCACAUUGCGCCCCCUGGUAUUCCGGGGGGCAUGCCUGUCCGAGCGUCAUUACUGCCCCUCAAGCACGGCUUGUGUGUUGGGCCGCCGUCCCUUCCCGCUCCGGGAGGGGACGGGCCCGAAAGGCAGUGGCGGCGCCGCGUCCGGUCCUCGAGCGUAUGGGGCUUUGUCACCCGCUCUGUAGGCCGGGCCGGUGCCCACGCCCUCAUGUUCAACUUCUUCCAAGGUUGACCUCGGAUCAGGUAGGGAUACCCGCUGAACUUAAGCAUAUC